rnacentral:lncRNA from 1 species
ACAAAAACGAGAUUUCAUCAAACGUUUCGUGCCGGAAAAAUGUAUGGUUGUAAAUUUGGACACUAAAGGUUGCCCGUCCUUGCGACUAUUGGCUCGUUGGUCGACAGCAGAUACGUGUCCUAUAGUACAUCCAUUCUGCGCUUUGUCGAACGCAUUCCGAUUGUGUAUGUGGUUGUCGGAUUCCUUUUAUCGGGAAUAUUUCAAAGAUGAAAUCAUGCAGGAGCAGGAGAGAAUUAUAGUGGCAGACGAAAAAGUGAAAUCAUCCGUGCUUAAUAUAGCAGACAAAUUGUCGAAUCAUCCCGACUUAAUAUAGCACACAAAUUGUUUCACUCGAAAUAUAGCAGACGAAAAAUGAAAUCAAUCGUGGUUAAUAUAGCAGACACAUUGUCGAAUCAUCCCGCUUUAAUAUAGCACACAAAUUUGUUUCGCUCGAAAUAUAGCAGACGAAAAGUGGAAUCAUCCGCAGACAAAUUUGUUUCACUCGAAAUAUAGGAGACGAAAAGUAUCCGUGUUUAAUAUAGCAGACAAAUUGUUUCACUUGAAAUAUAGCACACGAAAAGUGGAAUCAUCCGUACCUUGAAAGAAUUGACGAUAGCCACCAUCAUGGACGUUUUCAACAAUUCAGUCUUGUGUGAGGAGAUGCGAAAGUUUCCAUGAUCAGAUCGGUCAUGAUCGGAAAUGACCGGUCAAGUUCGCUGGAUGACGAUUGCAGCGUCGAAUCAGAGCGGCCAGGGAGUGCGCACGCGCAGAGGAGAGGAAAGCGCGAGAGAGCUUCAGAGCAGAGCGCGAGGAGUCACGGAUUUCAGUGUUGUUUGAACGGUCACUUGGUGCGUGGACCUCUUGGUGCCACGCUCAAACCCGAGUUGAUUGAACCGAUGCUCCAUGAUUUUCUAGUCCUUAGAUGCUAGUGUUUCUGUAGCUGUGCUGAUCUUAUGCAAGAAAAUCAUUCAAAUUUGGAAACCGCAUCAUUACACUUGAUUGUCAACUCUAAAGAGUUGAGUGUAAACGCUCGCUACAAGAUGAACAAACUCAUCAAAAUUCCAUCCAAGUACGGGAUAACCGUUGCCGCUGAUAUCAUCUUCGAGAAUCAUCAUCGUCUACUCUUCCUCCCUUCACACAUUGCGGACCGUUUGACGGACGAUGCAAUUCAGGAUAUCAACGCUGGAUCCUUCGAUCUCAUCUACGAAGGUCCGGUCGGAAGAACACACAAAUUCGCACUGGUUCCAAACGUUGCAGCUUGAUUUAUAUUGUAUGUAUUAUUGUAUUCUUUUCGAAAUGAUGUAAUGAUUGAAAAAAAAAUGUGACAUGUUUGUUAUUGAAUGAAAAAAUAAAUAAAUAAAUAUAUAUUUUUUUUUAAAUUUUUGCUCAAGAUCAAUCCAAUUGCCUCACGGUUCCGUGCAGUAGUUCGUACGAAUACUUCACAGGUGUGAUCACGAUCACCUGGGCUGUAGUGUUGGCCGGGAAAUUCUCUUUUGCCACAACGGUCAACGUGAUAUCCACCGGAGCUGUUUUUAGAUCUUCACCUUGGACGCAUUUGAUGACGAAAAUCGCGCGUUUUUUGAAAUUUUCAAACAACAUAGGUGGCUCGCAGAGUUUCUCACCUUUCCAGUAGUCUCUCAUAAAAUCGGU